CNAACGACUCUCGGCAACGGAUAUCUCGGCUCACGCAUCGAUGAAGAACGUAGCAAAAUGCGAUACUUGGUGUGAAUUGCAGAAUCCCGUGAACCAUCGAGUUUUUGAACGCAAGUUGCGCCCGAAGCCAUCCGGUCGAGGGCACGUCUGCCUGGGCGUCACGC
rnacentral:rRNA from 1 species